GACGAACCGAGCGAACGUUGUUCGGAAUCACUGGGCUUAAAGGGCGCGUAGGCGGGUGCUCAAGUCCGGGGUGAAAUCCUCCAGCUCAACUGGAGAACUGCCUCGGAUACUGGGUGCCUCGAGUGUGGUAGGGGUGUGCGGAACUAUCGGUGGAGGGGUGAAAUGCGUUGAUAUCGAUAGGAACUCCGGUGGCGAAGGCGGCACACUGGACCACAACUGACGCUGAGGCGCGAAAGCCAGGGGAGCAAACGGG
rnacentral:rRNA from 1 species